AUUGAACGCUGGCGGCAUGCUUUACACAUGCAAGUCGAACGGUAACAGGCCGCAAGGUGCUGACGAGUGGCGAACGGGUGAGUAAUGCAUCGGAACGUGCCCAGUCGUGGGGGAUAACGCAGCGAAAGCUGUGCUAAUACCGCAUACGAUCUAUGGAUGAAAGCGGGGGCCGGAAGGCCUUCGGCGAUUUGAACGGCCGGAUGCAGGAUUAGGUAGUUGGGGGGGAAAAGGCCCACAAGGCCAACGAUCUGUAGCUGGUCUGGGAGGACGACCAGCCACACUGGGACUGAGACACGGCCCAGACUCCUACGGGAGGCAGCAGUGGGGAAUUUUGGACAAUGGGCGCAAGCCUGAUCCAGCAAUGCCGCGUGCAGGAAGAAGGCCUUCGGGUUGUAAACUGCUUUUGUACGGAACGAAACGGUCUGGGUUAAUACCCUGGGCUAAUGACGGUACCGUAAGAAUAAGCACCGGCUAACUACGUGCCAGCAGCCGCCGUAACAC
rnacentral:rRNA from 1 species